rfam:Geobacter sp. OR-1 DNA, contig: OR1_contig000003.
GUCUGACACGGCCCCACGGUGGCCAGUUUGGCCCCUACAUUCGGUCGCGGCGCAAUGAC